UAGCACGUGAAAUUGUUGAAAGGGAAGCGUUUGCGACCAGACUUUUCCAGGCGGAUCAUCCGGUGUCUCACCGGUGCACUUCGUCUGGUUUAGGCCAGCAUCGGUUUUCUUAGGGGGAUAAAGGCUUGGGGAACGUAGCUCUUUCGGGAGUGUUAUAGCCCCUUGCGUAAUACCCCUCGGGGGACCGAGGAACGCGCUCUGCAAGGAUGCUGGCGUAAUGGUCGUCAACGACCCGUCUUGAAACACGGACCAAGGAGUCGAACAUUUGUGCGAGUGUUUGGGUGUUAAACCCUCACGCGUAAUGAAAGUGAACGGAGGUGAGAGCCUUAGGGUGCAUCAUCGACCGAUCCUGAUGUCUUCGGAUGGAUUUGAGUAAGAGCAUAACUGUUCGGACCCGAAAGAUGGUGAACUAUGCGUGGAUAGGGUGAAGCCAGAGGAAACUCUGGUGGAGGCUCGCAGCGGUUCUGACGUGCAAAUCGAUCGUCAAAUCUGCGCAUGGGGGCGAAAGACUUAUCGAACCAUUAAAAACCAGCGGUAAAUUUGAUUUACUAGGUGGUUAAGAGGGGCCCCGCGAGGGGUACUACCCUAGAGUCUGGGAGGACCUACCCUAUAGCUACCCUGUAGCCUUAGGGUAACCCCCUCCCGACCGACACCGCUAAAUUGCGGGGACGUCCUAUUAGAAGGUCGCAAGCUACCGCCGGGCGCUGAAAAGCGUGCCCGGCACCAAGAAUAGCGCUCUUGGGUAUGGUAAAAACGCUUGCGAUAGCGGAUGACCUGCAGCCAACCCCGUCGUAGGGGAGAGUUCACUGACUAAACAGCGGUGGGUCGGCGUUCGUUACGUGACGUCGGCCUAAGACAUAGUCGAUCCAGGCCCUGAAAAGG
rnacentral:rRNA from 1 species